UCUUUGCUAGUAUAUCGGUUAGUACACGCGCCUGUCAUACCAUGAAUUUGUGUUUCAAUGAUGUCCGCGCGAAAGCUGGGUUCGACUCCCAGGCAAAGAG